rnacentral:rRNA from 1 species
UGGCGAAAGCCUGACGCAGCGACGCCGCGUGAGGGAUGACGGCCUUCGGGUUGUAAACCUCUUUCAGCAGGGACGAAGCGUAAGUGACGGUACCUGCAGAAGAAGCACCGGCUAACUACAUGCCAGCAGCCGCGGUAAUACGUAGGGUGCGAGCGUUGUCCGGAAUUACUGGGCGUAAAGAGCUCGUAGGCGGUUUGUCACGUCGUCUGUGAAAUCCUAGGGCUUAACCCUGGACGUGCAGGCGAUACGGGCUGACUUGAGUACUACAGGGGAGACUGGAAUUCCUGGUGUAGCGGUGGAAUGCACAGAUAUCAGGAAGAACACCGAUGGCGAAGGCAGGUCUCUGGGUAGUAACUGACGCUGAGGAGCGAAAGCAUGGGUAGCGAACAGGAUUAGAUACCCUGGUAGUCCAUGCCGUAAACGGUGGGCGCUAGGUGUGGGGUUCCUUCCACGGGCUCCGCGCCGUAGCUAACGCAUUAAGCGCCCCGCCUGGGGAGUACGG